UUUCCCUUCUAAGUAGUGCUCCAGUAACAAUCUUUUAGAAAUACUUAAUAACUUUUGUACACUUUAAUAUAAAAAACUAUAAUCCUAAAAAGAUAAAGUUAAAUACAAGGUAAUGACAUUAAUAAUAAUACUUCUUCAAAUGUAUGGUGCCAAGUCAGGUAUCAGUAGCUCAUACCUGUUAAUCCUAGUGACUCAGGAGGCUGAGACCUGAGGAUCAUGGUUCCACACCAGCCCUGGCAGG